UUGCUUCAGCAGCACAGACACUAAAACUAGAACUAUACAGAGAAGAUUAGCAUGGCCCCUGCACAAGAAUGACACAAAAAUUUGUGAAGCAUUCCAUAUAAAA